rfam:TPA: Bos taurus chromosome 18, whole genome shotgun sequence.
UCUCUGGUGGUCCAGUGGUUAAGACUCUGCACUCCCAAUGCAAGGGGCCCAGGUCUAAUUCCUGGUCAGGGAA